rnacentral:sRNA from 1 species
CGUGAACGUGCUCCGCGGGCUCAGUCCGCCCGCCGCUGCGUCCCGGGGUGCAAGUGAGCUUCUCGGCUGCCCCGCGGGCCGGGGUGCGGAGCCGACAUGCGCCCGCUGCUCGGCCUCCUUCUGGUCUUCGCCGGCUGCACCUUCGCCUUGUACUUGCUGUCGACGCGACUGCCCCGCGGGCGGAGACUGGGCUCCACCGAGGAGGCUGGAGGCAGGUCGCUGUGGUUCCCCUCCGACCUGGCAGAGCUGCGGGAGCUCUCUGAGGUCCUUCGAGAGUACCGGAAGGAGCACCAGGCCUACGUGUUCCUGCUCUUCUGCAGCGCCUACCUCUACAAACAGGGCUUUGCCAUCCCCGGCUCCAGCUUCCUGGUCAGUGGCCUGCCCUCCCUCCAACCGUGUUUCCUUAUCUGUAAAAUUUGGAUACUCCCCUGUAACCUCAUGGGAUAGUUGUGUGGGGAUGAUUAAACGUGACAGUGGGUGUAUCGGGGCUGGCACACAUUGGCCCUCAGCGCCUACUGAGGGAUUGAGCACCGAAGUGGGAGACGCUGACAGCUUCCUUUUGUACUGCUUCCUUCUCCCACCCCAGCCUGUUUCUCUCCUCUAGGCUGAGGCUGGACCUGCUCAAACAGUUUCCUUGUCGGAAACUAGAAGAAAAGCAAACAUGUCUAAGAGAGGCAGGGGAGGUGUGUGGGGCUCGGGGUCAGGGGCUGACUCCUUGAGGCUGCCCUAUGUCUGUCUUCUGUCUUGAACUGAUCCCUCUUCAGGGCAGAGAGCCAGCUGCUGCUUGGUGGGGGCUCCACAUCCAGAUCUGAGGGUGAACCCUGACUCUGCCUGCUGUGCUCUUGGGGAGGAUACUUAACCUCUCACCUGUAGAAUGGGGCAAGGAUGGCAUGACUCAGGGAUGUAGUGAGGAUUACACAGGACAUGUAGUCAAGCACUUAACACAGUGCUCAGCGGCUCCCCGGCUUCCCACUUCCAAGGCUUCCUUUUACUUUCUCUCUUGGAUCCCAUGUUUUGUCAGGAUGAUGUCUACCAACCAAAAUGCAUUUAGGAAGUAUUGGUUCACUUUUCCCUUUUUCUUAAACCGAGACGUCUUCAAGUGUUGGCUAGAGCUCUGGUCAACAUGGAACCCCGGUAUUAGCAUACUACAUAGAUGUAAUUCCAGCAAAAAGCAAAGAAACAAGACACCUUAACAUAGCUUGUGUGGUCUUACCAAGGGAAAAUUUAUGGUUUGUGUUCAUCUUUUGAAAUGGUAAAAAUAACUUGUGAGUUUCAUUUCUACUUUCUUGGAGCCCCAGUAAUUGUAGAAUCUACCAUAGCCACAGAUCCCAUUUAAUUCUCUCCUGCCCUCUGAGGCUUUUAUCCUUAUCCUCAUUUUCAAGGUGAAGAGACUGAUGCCAGGUGUAGUUCCCAGCCUUUUCAUAAUUUUUCAUUCACCUCUUUAAAUGGCAAUUGGGACCUGGGGCAGUGGCUCAUGCCUGCAAUCCUAGCACUUUGGGAGGCUGAGGUGGGAGGAUCACUUGAGUCCAGGAGUUUGAAACCAGCCUGGGCAACACAGUGAGACCCCAUCUCUACAAAAAAUUUUAAAAAGUAGGUGGAUAUGGUGGUGUGUGCCUACAGUCCUAGCUGCUUGGGAGGCUGAGGCAGGAGGAUCGCUUGAUCCAGGAGUUCGAGGAUGUAGUGAGCUAUGAUCAUGUCACUGUACUCCAGCAUGGGUGACAGAGCGAGAUCCUAUUUCUUAAAUAAAUAAAUAAAUAAUGCAAUUGGGUUUUAGCUGGAAAAAAGCAGUGGAGGAGGAGGGAACCUGUGACUCUCAGGCUCCAAGAUGAGGUGCCUGGUAGCUGCCAGAUGUUCACAUGCCUGAGGGUUUGUUUUCUUUGCAGAAUGUUUUAGCUGGUGCCUUGUUUGGGCCAUGGCUGGGGCUUCUGCUGUGCUGUGUGUUGACCUCAGUGGGUGCCACAUGCUGCUACCUGCUCUCCAGUAUUUUUGGCAAACAGUUGGUGGUGUCCUACUUUCCUGAUAAAGUGGCCCUGCUGCAGAGAAAGGUAAGGGGAGGGGUCACAUCUGAGAGCUGGGACCCCAGAGAGUCACUUCAUGCAUGGCCUUGAGAGAAGCCAGUGGCAGGGAUUUCCCACAGGACUCUUCCACGGUGUCUCGGGAGGUCCUAGGGGUUCUUUUGAUGUCUUCAGGAGACAUAGACCUGGGAUCAAAUCCCAGCUCCAUCAUUACCAGCUCUGUGACUUUGGGCAAGUUCUCAACUUCUCUGAUCCUCAGCAUCUCUAUUUUAAAAUGAGGAAAACAGUCUUUUCUUGGAGGGUUGUUGGAAGAAUUGGGAACAGAUUAUGUAAAGAGUCUAGAACAGUGCCCGGCACCAGCAGGUUUUCAAUACCUGGAGACCCUUUCUGCUUCUUAACAGCUUUCUUCUCUUUGGCUACAGGUGGAGGAGAACAGAAACAGCUUGUUUUUUUUCUUGUUGUUUUUGAGACUUUUCCCCAUGACACCAAACUGGUUCUUGAACCUCUCGGCCCCGAUUCUGAACAUCCCCAUCGUGCAGUUCUUCUUCUCAGUUCUUAUCGGUAAGAUGCUAGUGGAGUAGGUUUGAGUCUUCAGAGCUGUCACGUUGGGGGUCUGCCCUGGGUUAUUGGCCAUGUGAGCGUGUGCCUGCUUCUGAGAACAGAGGCUCACAAAGUGUGACUUCAAGCCUUAUGAUCUAAAGAAAUGAUUCCUGAUUUCAGAUCUACUCAGGCUUCAACAUGAAAACCCAUAAAAAUACUUUUAAAUACUUUUGGACUAAAUAAAGAUUGUUCAUUGCAUGGCUGUAUGUGCUAGGCACUGGGAUUAGAAAAGAUAGUCUGUGUAAAGUAUACAACUUGGCCCAUAGUAAGUACUCAGUAAAUGCUAGCAGGAAGAGCAGGGUUGGAAUGAGGGUAUGUGUGUGUCCAUGAGUUUUGAGUGGGGACAGAAGAAAGGAGCAGAGCAAGGGACUUCCUGUCUGGUUUUUGGCCCCUGUUUUGAUUAAGUUCUGCCUUAGGAAUUGCUGGCAUCAAUGAGGUUCCUUCCUGCCUUUUGACAAUUGCACAACCUGCAGCAAGCUACUUACCCUUAAUGGGCCACCUGGCUAGGAAUAGAGCAGCGUUUCUCAAAGUGUGGGCCUUGGGCCACCUUUAUCAGAUUGGCAGGGUCAGGGGGCUUCUUGAGAAUCUAGAUUUGGGGCCUACUCCAGACCUACUGAAUCAGAAUCUUGGGAGUGGGAUCUGGGAAUAUGCAUUUUAAUCCAGUUCCUAGUCAGUCAUUUUCAAACUGCAAACCCAGUCGUUCUCAAACUGCAAACCUAUUAAGAAUCGCCUGCAAACCUAUUAAAAACCACUUGGAAGCCGGGCUCAGCAGCUCACGCCUGUAAUCCCAGCACUUUGGGAGGCUGAGGCAGGCGGAUCACUUGAGGUUGGGAGUUCAAGACCAGCCUGGCCAACAUGGUGAAACCUCAUCUCUACUAAAAAUACAAAAAUUAGCCUGACGUGGUGGUGUGCAUCUGUAAUUCAACUACUUGGGAGGCUGAGGCAGGAGAAUCGCUUGAACCUGGGAGGCGGAGGUUGCAGUAAGCUGAGAGGAUGACGCUUCACUCCAGCCUGGGUGACAGAGUGAGGCUCCAUCUCAAAAAAAAAAAAAAAAAGCAAAAAAAAAACACAACAAAACAACAAAACAUCACCUGUGUAGAUUUUAAUCCCUAAGCUAAGGCUACACCACAUAUCAACUAAAUCAUCUCUGGGGUAGGACUCAGGGAUCAGGAUCUUUUAACGUUUUCCAGGUGAUGGAAGUAGUUAGUCCCUAAAAGGGAUUCUGCUGGAUCCUGAGUUUUGCAGUCUACUGAAUUUAGAUGAUAUCUAAAGUUUCUCCUUGCCUUUGACAAUUAUAUGACCUCCAGCGAGCUACUUACUCUGAAUGGGCCACUCGUCCAGAUAAGGGGCUGGGACUAGAGCAGUGUUUCUCGAAGUAUGGGCCUUGGACUACCUUUAUCAGAGUGGUAAAGUGCUAACAUCCUAUAAAAUCAGUGUCUGCUACUUUCUCCAUACUGGAAGAAAACCACCCUCCUUAAGCCUAAGGCAAGGAUCUCUUUCUUUAAACCUUCCUUAGAGCCUAGAGGGAAAGACGAUUCAGGGCUUCUAGGUCAAACAGAGCAAAUCUGUGGUUGAGCAGCUGCUAUUAAUAGGGAUACCUGAGAGAAAUGGAGAUCUUAAAUAGAAGCAAGAUCUACCACAGCCAAUUCUGGUCAUAUUGGCUUUCAGACAAAGUGCCUCAGGCCCUCAGCUAGUGGGGGUUUGCUUCUUCUAAUUACCUAGGUGGCAUGAGGCUUGGCAAGAUUCUGGAGACCGGGCUUCCUGUCCCCUAUCUCACAAGCUGUGUGACCCUGAGGGGUCUGGGAUCUUCAUCUAAUGUAUACUUCCUCUCUUAUAGAAGAGGAAUGGACUAUCAGAGGGUUCCAAACCAAUCGGAAUCUCAGGGUGGGAGUGGAGAAGGGGCUUUUAAAAUACAGGUUCCUGGGCACUACCCCAGAACCAAGUAACCGGAAUUUCUGGGGUGGAGCUGAAGGAUGUGGUUUUUAACAAUGUCACCAGCUGAUCGUUCUGCAGCCAGCCCGUUCAGCCAGCCAGACUUUUGGAAUCCAGUGGAUUUGAUGACAUCUUUGAGACGGUGCAGAAUGUGAAUAGUACUUCUUUUAAAAAGCUGUUUUUUUGUUUGUUUGUCAACAGUGGCACUUCUGUCUUUACUUUGGCUGUUGGGUACUCAGAACCAAAUUUGGGGCCCACUUUUAGCAAACAGGUGAACCUUAUGCAUUUUUCUACUAACUGUACUCCCUGAUGUCUUGUAUUCUUCUGCAGGCAUUUUACUUUUCGUAUUUAAACUUUUAUUUAUUUAUUUACUUUUGAGACAGAGUCUGGCUCUAUCGCCUG